rnacentral:rRNA from 1 species
UACGUAGGGGGCAAGCGUUGUCCGGAUUUAUUGGCGUAAAGAGCGUGUAGGCGGCCACACAGGUCUGCUGUGAAAACUCGAGGCUCAACCUCGAGCUGUCGGUGGAAACCGUGUGGCUAGAGUCCGGAAGAGGAGAGUGGAAUUCCCGGUGUAGCGGUGAAAUGCGCAGAUAUCGGGAAGAACACCCGUGGCGAAGGCGGCUCUCUGGGACGGUACUGACGCUGAGACGCGAGAGCGUGGGUAGCAAACAGG